rnacentral:rRNA from 1 species
AUUGAACGCUGGCGGCAUGCCUUACACAUGCAAGUCGAACGGCAGCGCGGGGCAACCUGGCGGCGAGUGGCGAACGGGUGAGUAAAAUAUCGGAACAUACCCUAGAGUGGGGGAUAACGUAGCGAAAGUUACGCUAAUACCGCAUACGCACUAAGGUGGAAAGUGGGGGAUCUUCGGACCUCAUGCUCAUGGAGUGGCCGAUAUCUGAUUAGCUAGUUGGUGAGGUAAAGGCUCACCAAGGCGACGAUCAGUAGCUGGUUUGAGAGAACGACCAGCCACACUGGAACUGAGACACGGUCCAGACUCCUACGGGAGGCAGCAGUGGGGAAUUUUGGACAAUGGGGGCAACCCUGAUCCAGCAAUGCCGCGUGAGUGAAGAAGGCCUUCGG